rnacentral:rRNA from 1 species
GACGAACGCUGGCGGCGUGCUUAACACAUGCAAGUCGAACGGAAAGGCCCUGCUUUUGUGUGCUGCUCGAGUGGCGAACGGGUGAGUAACACGUGAGUAACCUGCCCUUGACUCUGGGAUAACUGCUGGAAACUGCGGCUAAUACCGGAUAGGAGCUCCUACUGCAUCUUCGGGGUUUGAAAAGUUCUGCGGUUGGGGAUGGGCUCGCGGCUUAUCAGCUUGUUGGUGGGGUAGUGGCUUACCAAGGCGUUGACGGGUAGCCGGCCUGAGAGGGUGACCGGCCACACUGGGACUGAGAUACGGCCCAGACUCCUACGGGAGGCAGCAGUGGGGAAUAUUGCACAAUGGGCGAAAGCCUGAUGCAGCAACGCCGCGUGCGGGACGACGGCCUUCGGGUUGUAAACCGCUUUCGGCUGUGAAGAAGCGAGAGUGACGGUAAUGGGUAAAGAAGCACCGGCUAACUACGUG